GUUUACGGCCAUACCAGCCUGGGUACGCCCGAUCUCGUCUGAUCUCGGAAGCUAAGCAGGGUCGGGCCUGGUUAGUACUUGGAUGGGAGACCGCCUGGGAAUACCAGGUGCUGUAAGGU
rnacentral:rRNA from 1 species